CUGGAACGCGCUUCGGCGCACCCAGAAACCCUUUGUGAACUUAUACCUAUUGUUGCCUCGGCGUAGGCCGGCUUUUUCUAAAAGCCCCCUGGAAACAGGGAGAAGCCCGCCGGCGGCCAACCAAACUCUUGUUUCUACAGUGAAUCUCUGAGUAAAAAACAUAAAUGAAUCA
rnacentral:misc_RNA from 1 species